rnacentral:lncRNA from 1 species
GCUGAUUUUAUUGCCUUCUGCCACUAAACACUGUGACCCGGGAAAGCAACGGUUACAUCAAGUGCAGCCAGGCCAGGGGGCUGAAGGAUCCUGGGCUGGGACCCUCAGUUGCCCGUUCAUAGAAAUGGGGCCAAGGCAGGCACCCAAUUUCUCUUUCUCCUUCCUGAAGACAGAUGCUCAAGGGCCAGACCAUGUUGUUCACAAAUGUUCUCCCCUAUUUUCCAGUUUAUUGUACUGGAUUGGCAAUGAGUUUUGGGGAAGCUGGACCUACUGUGGAGCUAGGAUGAAGUCAAGACAGAGACUUGAAGUUGUCCCCUCUUCCUCCUUCCUUUGCUUCUCCUUCCCUCAUGUUCUUCCCCCAACAUAUUUAAGGUGGUGCAGUUUGUACCUUCAUCACUCUUUCCCUGGAAAUAACAGUGAAUUUUAAUAAAUGCAAAUGUCAGAGAAGGCUGAACAGUUAUACUUGGACAGAAGCAGGGGGCGAGCCCUGGCAGAGCCAUCUCAUUGCUCCCCUGGCUCCUGGCAGCCCCGGAGUCCUGCUGUGAUUCCUCUGUCCCUUAAGUCCCCCGGGGGGCUCUCAGGAGAAACGCAACUACUGCUCUCCAUUCAGCCCACAGCAUGGAAGUUCCUCCAGCCCCCUCUAAUCUUAUUUCCUAUUUCUUCUGUGCCAAAGAAGGGGUUUGCCAAUGAAAGCUACACAUCUACCCUUUUUUAAAAAAAAGUUUUUAUUGGAACACAGUUGCCUUACAAAGUUGUGUUAAUUUCAGGCUUACAGCAAAGUAAAUCAGUCACCCAUUACUUCCUUCAUCCUUGGAUGAAGCACACAACCAGGCCUGGGGAGAUGAGGGCAGCCCUCACCCAGGAGGUGACAUUUCAUUUAGAUGUGAGACGAUAAGUAGGUGUUUUCCAAGAUGAUGUACAAAACAAGUCACAUCAAUGUCAUUUCUAUCACACUCCUUGAAAUAGCUUCACCCGACUUUCCAGAACACCAGGUUGUGCUUUGUAAAGUUAAGCUUUGCCAUUAUGUUGUUGGAAUCUGGCAUGUUAACUACAGAUGAUUGGUGACGGGAAAGGAGAGCCAGUCUUAUCAGUGAAGACAUUUAGAGCUGGAGGAGGCUGGUACUUGUAAGCUCUUUCAUAGUCUGUCUGAGAAAGAAAUUCUGAUACAUCUGUACAGAACAUCACAGCUUACAGGUCAUUGCCAGCUAAUUUAAUCCUUAAAAAGUAAGUAUUAGGAUCCCUAUGCUAUACUGGAGGCAAAGCAGAGCUCAGUUCUUUGAGGCUUCUGCCUGGAAGCCAUGUAAAUCCUUCUAUUGGAACCUCUGGGUAGAUUCAUAAUUGCCAUCUAUGCUCCCUAAGCCAGGGUGCUCCUUACCUCAGGUGGCAAUUGAUAAAAAGGCAGUUCUGGAGUUUGUUAUGCUAUUGUGACCACAAACAAGGCAAAGCCAAACACCAGUGUGAGCCUCUCUAGCAAGUCUUCUGAAAUAUUAGUCUCUGGUAAAAGGAAAAUAGACAAAAUCCUUUGGGAUGGCCAAUUUUAUGUGUCAAUUUAACUAGACCACAGUCCCACUUAUUCCAUCAAACACUAAUCGAGGUGCUGCUGUGAAGGCAUUUUAGAGAUAUGAUUCAAGUUCAUAAUCAGUUGACUAGAAGUAAGACACUCCCCAAUCAUAUGGGUGGGCCUGGCUUAAUCAGUUGAAAGGCCUUCAGAGUAGUCAAGGCUUCCCUGAGAAAGAAGAAAAUCUGCCUGUGGGCAGUAGCUUCACCCUGGGUCUGAAACCUCAGCCAGUCAUUCCUGAAGGUCUGCUCGGCAGGUUUCAGACUUGUCUAGCCAGCCUCCCCAAUUACAUAGGUAAAUUCCUUACAGUGCAUCUCUUCUUACUUCUCUCCUACUGGUUCUGUGUUUCUGUUUUUUUCCAGGCAUCAUUUCCAACCUGGAUUCUUUUGGGGGGUGGGGCACACAUGUGGCAUAUGGAAGUUCCCAGACUAGGGGUUGAAUCGGAGCUACAGCUGCCAGCCUACACCGUAGCCACAGCAAUGCCAGAUCCAAGCAACAUCUGUGACCUACACCACAGCUCACAGCAAUGCUGGAUCCUUAACCUACUAAGAGAGGCCAAGGAUCGAGCCCAUAUCCUCAUGGAUACUAAUCAGGUUCAUUACCACUGAGCCACAAUGGGAACUCCCCAGAUCUAGAUUAUUGCCAUGGUCUUUGCUCUGGGCUCCCACCUCCAACCCUCCUCCUCCAACCCAUCCUUUACACUCUGCCAGAGGGUCCAUUCUAAAACACAAAUCUGAUGCCUCUUGUUUUUAGUCCUGAGACUCUCUUACCAUAAUCAUGGCCAGGGGUCACCGGGGCCAGUGUAGAAAGGACCAAAUCCCGUGACUUGCAGGUCACAGGAAAUUUGUUAAGCUGCAUGGUGAUGAUUAAAAGUGCAGAUAGCUCCUCUUCCUCCCUCUGAUUUCUAGAAGAAGGACACAAAUUGCCAAAAUGGAGAAUCAGUUGUCACCUUCAUUUGUGGCUUUCUAGUAGCAAUUUCAUUGGAAGAGAUGGCUUGGACCUGAGGUCAAAAUGGAAGGAAGGUCCAAUAUCUCAUUCUAUGAAUUGAAGGUAGCCAGGUCCCCAUCGGAGGACCAAUCUGACUUCUCCACCUGGUUCCAGAAUGGGAGAUGGCAUACCUUGAGGGAUAGACCUGGAGGGCUGAGCUGACAGCAUGGAGGAAGAGGUGAGGGGGCCCUGGCUCUUUUUACUUCCCUUUGGGGCAGGCUGGGUCUGUGUGAGAGAUCUUGGGACGAAAGCAGCCUUGCUCCUUAGCUUGGCCAGUGGGUGUCCAGCUCACCAAUGGAAAGGAUACCAUUCCCAGAGGGAGCUCAGUGAUGCAGGAGGAGAGAAGGCAAGCAUGUUUUCUCCAAUGCUUACCUCUCUUGAGAUCCAGGAAGAAGGCCUUUCCUAUUGGUGGGAGCAGGAGACAGAGAAGAUGAUUAGGGGUGGGGGGCACUCUCUGUGAGCACACUUUUGUCUCAGAGCGAUGCCUCAAACGUGGACCCUAGGACUCCGUGUUGACAAAGUUAUUUUCGACUAAACCCUUCCAACUUUGCAACUUUGUUCACAGCUUCCUCCCAUCCAGCCUCCUUCCUUUAUGUUGACAGGGGAAUUAUCUAGAGAGUUGGGAGAGGACAACUUGAAAACGCAGCUGUACAUACUUUCCAGAGACAUUUGUCCUCAGAAGUCUCGUUGUGAAGUCACAUUGCCCCCUCUGGUCUUCUGGCAACUCGUGAUGUACAGCCCUCACUGGGGCCCUGGGAACAACCCCCAGUACAUCAGGGGGCUCCCAAGCUCUUGGCCUCAGUGUUCAUGUUCAUAGACGUCAUCUCCAAAGUCCAACAAAAUCAUGAUUUCAUUUGCCCUAAGAAUCCCGGCUCAGACAGUCUAACUGCACCCCAGUCACAACAGCAGGUUCUUAAAAUGUUUAAAACAAAAGCAAGUGCUGGGUAUUUCAGAGUUAUAAAAAGCAUUAGCCAGCGAAACAAAGACAAUGAAGGCUGAGGCCGGCUGACUGCAGGACUUUGCCUGGAAGGCUGAGUGCCCAAUAUAGCGCUCCCCAAACCCUCCCGAGGAUUUCCGUUUAAAGCAUCCCCAGCUCCGUGCUGCUGAAAGAUGCCUGCUGCCUGCAUGUCACUGGAGAAUAAGCUCAUCGUUCCCAAGCAAGCCUCACAAGAAGCUUCCCAGUGAGGUCACUGCACUCCUCGUCUCCCUCCACCAGUCAUCACCCUGGGCUCCGACUUUGCUGUACUCUCCUACGUCUCCAUGAAGCCCGGAAGCCUGAAACAUCCUUCUCUAGUCUCUGCCUCAUUGCCUACCUUCUCUUCAAGUCCCAUCUCCAGAUUCUCCUCCUUCUGUGGCAGGCAUGAGGGCUAUUCAUCAACUAUUUUAUUUUUCCACACGCCAGACACGUGAUAGCUUUGCAUUUCUGGAUCUCUUGUGUUUGAGGCCAUUAGACUCAUUCUGACCCAUAGGCCAUAAGCAGGAAUGACACAAAUGACACUUAUCCAUUCUGGGCCUGACAUCUGCUUGCCAUGUGCGACCUUCCUGCAUCUUCCUCUCCCUGUGGCAUGGAAACCAGCAUCGCUCCAGAGAGCAGCUCCUCUGUUAACCCGGAUCCCAGAGUAAGAAUGGUAAUGACAGUGCUACUAACCUACAAUGGGGGAGGAAACCUUUGUUGUAAACCACUAAGGUACAAGGGUUGCUUAUCUAAUUGAAACAUGAGCAGAAGACCUAAGUAGACAUUUCUUCAAAGAAGACAUGCAGACAGCCAAUAGGCACAUGAAAAAAUACUCAUCUUGGCUAAUUGUUAGAGAAAUGCAAAUCAAAACUACAAUGAGGCACCACUCCACACAGGUCAGAAUGACCAUCCUUAAAAAGUCUACAAAUAGGGAGUUCCUGUUGUGGUGCAGCAGAAAUGAAUCUGACUAAUAACUAUGAGGUUGCGGGUUGGAUCCCUGGCCUUGCUCAGUGGGUUAAGAAUCCGGUGUUGCCAUGAGCUGUGGUGUAGGUCGCAGACAUGGCUGGGAUGCCACAUUGCUGUGGCUCUGGCGUAGGCUGGCACCUGUAACUCUGAUUUGACCCCUAGCCUGGGAACUUCCAUAUGCCACGGGUGCAGCCCUAAAAAGCAAACAAACAAACAGAUAAAAGUCUACGAAUAACAAAUGCUGGAAAGUGUGUGGAGCAAAGGGAACCCUCCUACACUGCGAGAAUGUAAAUUGGUGCAGCCACUAUGGAAAGCAGUAUGGAGGUUCUUUAAAAAACUAAAAAUGGAGUUACCAUAUGAUCCAACUAUCCCACUCCUGGGCAUAUAUCCAGAGAAAACUAUAAUUUGAAAAGAUACAUGUACCUCUAUGUUCAUAGCAGCACUAGUUACAAUAGCCAAGACAUGGAAACAACCUAAAUGUCCAUUGAGAGUGAAUGGAUUAAGAUGUGGGAUAUACAUAUAUAUAAAUGGAAUAUUAUUUGGCCAUAAAAAGAAUGAGGUAGUGCCAUUUGCAGCAAGCUGGAUGGACCUAGAGAUUAUCAUACUAAGCAAAGUAAGUGAGAGAGAAAGACAAAUACCAUAUAUCACUUAUAUAUAGAAUCUAAAAUAUAACACAGAUGAAGAUAUCUACAAAACAGAAACAGGGGAGUUCUCUGAUGGCCUAGCGGGUUGAGGCUCCUGCGUUCUCACCACUGUGGCUCUGGUUGCUGCUGUGUGGCAUAGGUUCAAUCCCUGGCCCAGGAAUACCUCCUGUGUGACAAAAAAGAAAAAAAAAUACAAAAAAAAAAACACAACAAGAGAGAACCUGAAAUAAACUGUGCAACUCUC